rnacentral:rRNA from 1 species
AUUGAACGCUGGCGGCAGGCCUAACACAUGCAAGUCGAACGAGUGGCGGACGGGUGAGUAAUGUCUGGGAAACUGCCCGAUGGGGGGGGAUAACUACUGGAAACGGUAGCUAAUACCGCAUACCAUCGGAUGUGCCCAGAUGGUAUUGGCUAGGAGGUGGGGUAACGGCUCACCUAGGCGACGAUCCCUAGCUGGUCAGAGAGGAUGACCAGCCACACUGGGACUGAGACACGGUCCAGACUCCUACGGGAGGCAGCAGUGGGGAAUAUUGCACAAUGGGCGCAAGCCUGAUGCAGCCAUGCCGCGUGUAUGAAGAAGGCCUUCGGGUUGUAAAGUACUUUCAGCGGGGAGGCGUUACUCGCAGAAGAAGCACCGGCUAACUCCGUGCCAGCAGCCGCGGUAAUUC